UCCGGANUUAUUGGGCGUAAAGAGCUUGUAGGCGGUUGGUCGCNUCUGCUGUGAAAGGCUGGGGCUUAACCCUGGUUUUGCAGUGGGUACGGGCUAACUAGAGUGCAGUAGGGGAGACUGGAAUUCCUGGUGUAGCGGUGGAAUGCGCAGAUAUCAGGAGGAGCACCGAUGGCGAAGGCAGGUNUCUGGGCUGUAACUGACGCUGAGAAGCGAAAGCAUGGGGAGCGAACAGGAUUAGAUACCCUGGUAGUCCAUGCCGUAAACGUUGGGCACUAGGUGUGGGGGACAUUCCACGUUUUCCGCGCCGUAGCUAACGCAUUAAGUGCCCCGCCUGGGGAGUACGGCCGCAAGACUAAAACUCAAAGAAAUUGACGGGGGCCCGCACAAGCGGCGGAGCAUGCGGAUUAAUUCGAUGCAACGCGAAGAACCUUACCAAGGCUUGACAUAUACUGGACUGCGUCAGAGAUGGCGUUUCCCUUCGGGGCUGGUAUACAGGUGGUGCAUGGUUGUCGUCAGCUCGUGUCGUGAGAUGUUGGGUUAAGUCCCGCAACGAGCGCAACCCCCGUUCUAUGUUGCCAGCACGUGAUGGUGGGGACUCAUAGGAGACUGCCGGGGUUAACUCGGAGGAAGGUGGGGAUGACGUCAAAUCAUCAUGCCCCUUAUGUCUUGGGCUUCACGCAUGCUACAAUGGCCGGUACAGAGGGUUGCGAUACUGUGAGGUGGAGCUAAUCCCUAAAAGCCGGUCUCAGUUCGGAUUGGGGUCUGCAACUCGACCCCAUGAAGUCGGAGUCGCUAGUAAUCGCAGAUCAGCAACGCUGCGGUGAAUACGUUCCCGGGCCUUGUACACACCGCCCGUCAAGUCACGAAAGUUGGUAACACCCGAAGCCGGUGGCCUAACCCUGGUG
rnacentral:rRNA from 1 species